AAGACUAUACUUUCAGGGAUCAUUUCUAUAGUAUGUUACUAGAGAAGUUCCUCUGAUCGUGUAGGGCACCCGAAACCACAAGGAGGGGACGCAGCGAAAGAAAAAAAAAAUCGAGAGUUGG
rnacentral:snoRNA from 1 species